CCUACGGGUGGCUGCAGUGGGGUAUAUUGGGCACUGGGCGCAAGCCUGACCCAGCGACGCCGCGUGAGGGAAGACGGUCUUCGGAUUGUAAACCUCUUUCAGCAGGGAAGACAAAAGGACGGUACCUGACGAAUAAGCCACGGCUAACUACGUGCCAGCAGCCGCGGUAAUACGUAGGUGGCAAGCGUUGUCCGGAUUUACUGGGUGUAAAGGGCGUGUAGCCGGGUUGACAAGUCAGAUGUGAAAUCCUGCGGCUUAACCGCAGAACUGCAUUUGAAACUGUUGAUCUUGAGUACUGGAGAGGCAGACGGAAUUGCUAGUGUAGCGGUGAAAUGCGUAGAUAUUAGGAGGAACACCAGUGGCGAAGGCGGUCUGCUGGACAGCAACUGACGGUGAGGCGCGAAAGCGUGGGGAGCAAACAGGAUUAGAUACCCGAGUAGUC
rnacentral:rRNA from 1 species